rnacentral:RNase_P_RNA from 1 species
GCUGCAGAUCAUUGAAUCUGUAGAGGAAAGUCCAUGCUCGAACGGUGCUGAGAUGCCCGUAGUGUUCGUGCCUAGCGAAGAAAUAAGCUAGGGCAGCCUUGAUAGGCUGACGGCAGGAAAAAAGCCUACGUCUCCGGAUAUGGCUGAGUAUCCUUGAAAGUGCCACAGUGACGAAGUCUCAUCAGAAAUGGUGAGAGUGGAACGCGGUAAACCCCUCGAGCGAGAAACCCAAAUUUUGGUAGGGGAACCUUCUUGAAGGAACUGAAC